UGCAAAGCCUCCUCCCUUUUCUUAUCAGAAGAGCUGAUCACAGUCACAUGAUGCCCCAUUGCCUUCGCUAUUUUAACACCCAGAUGACCAACUCCCCCCAAACCCAAAAUUCCUGCAUUGAGAACCUUACCGGACCCCAUGAACUGUCUUAAGGGACUGUAAGCCGUCACCCCAGCACACAGCAGUGGUGCAGCUUGCUCCGGUGAAAGCUUUUCUGGAAUCCUCACAACAAACCUGCAUUUGUUUGUGUUGAUUAGGAAGAUGUCAACAAAAUGUGUGAGAGGGAUGAAGAAAUAGGUGCAGACCCUGGGACCAAAGGGUAAUUAGUGGAGUGUACUUCGUUCCUCAUCUGAUGAAGAUCCGUGUGGUCCAUUCCACAGUAGAGCACCUUGAUCACCACGUCUUCAGGACCUGUUUUUCUGUUCAUGUAUACAUUCAAAGAUCAGCCAGUAGUGAAGAGAGCAGCCGAGAGACAGAAGGACAGAGUGAAACCUGAGAGUGAAUGAAUAAGGAGAGAGAAGCCCAGAAGCAUCCCUAGCAGCCCAGCCAACAACCCUUCUUCCCUCCAUCUUCUUAGGCCUCAAAAUCAAGUGACACCAAACACCGAACAGAGUGAAGAGAUAAAAAAAAAGGCAGAAGCUGAAGCUGAAGCUGUGGUGUAGUCCUUGGGGGGUUUGGGUUUUAUAUUCAUGAAAGGGUCCAUGGUUACAACCUUGCAUGCAAUUUUUUAAUGGCAUUCAAAUGAAAGCAGAGGUGCCUUUGGGGCAGAUUCUUUCCAUUCCGAACAAAAAAUUGAACUGCUGAUGGCGGCUGAGAGGAUCACAUCUCACACCCCAAUAAUUAUGGAUAUAUGUAUAUAUCAUUCCAUACAUCACCUCCUAUAAA